UUGCCAUAAAAAUCUUCCAAACGUCUCCUUGGUUCUAUAGAGCUACACUCAAUGCUUGAAGCUCACAGCGCUGCCAGAAAGAGUCGACAAUGAAGAGUAUUGUGCUUCUCGUGGUCGGAUCAGCGCUCCUUCUGCAAACAAUUAUUGCCAAGGCGGCAGAGCCUGAGGUAAACAAGGCACCUCAAGUCAAUGAGCCGUUGAAUGAGCCAGAGGAAGAUCGAGAUAUGAUCCACCACGGAAAUUUUGAUAUUCCUCGACAGACAUUUCGUCGAGAGAAGUUGGUGCUCCCGUAUAAUCCAAUGAAUGAGCCAGAAGAAGACAGAGAUAUGAUUCAUCAUGGUUUCUGAACUCUGCCUCAUGUUAUGGGAGCGGGAGAUUGCUUCAUUGAUUUAGUUUGUUAAUUUGAUUGCAACUUAAUUUAUUUUGAAGAUUUAUUUUAUCAUGGGCCGAGGAUGCAAUCCAACAAAUUUAUUUGGUGCACAAAAUCUUUCUGUAAAUCUUGGUCUAUUUCACAUAGGAAAUGGCAUACAAAUUAAAUGCAAAUUUUACCACAAGGUAUCUAAAUAAACACAAGUCACUUCACUUUGUAGUAAAUCAUGUGAAAUGCUUUGAAAUGUCCUUCCAACCUGUUACGGUGCUACACCGAAUGCAAGGAUAAUUAUUAUUAUAUAUAAACUCUAUUGUUCCCAGGGCAUUACCAGCCACUGGUGAAAGCUAUGGCAAUAAAUGACAAAAGUAUACAAUCAAAGUUGUUUAAAGGUUGAUCAAUCUAAUUUAUACUUUGAAGCUCAGUUGAAAUAGUUUUUGGUAACUGGUGCAUACUCCCAGCACUUAUUGCUCAAUGGUUAUUGUGCAAUGGUUAUUUUGGUGUUCAAACUAUAUUUGGCUUUCCUACCAAUAUGUCACACUGUGAAUUACUCAUGGGUAUUAAAGAGUUCCUAAAUAUAAGGGAACAUGAGCUCAAGUUGUAACACGGGGCUUGAGCCCACAUCCUUCUGAUCCAGAGGUGUGCGUGUUCACAACUGAGCCAAGCUAACACCUGCACACAAGCAUGCCAUUGGGAAAUGUGUGGAUUUCCCAAGCAAGUUCCUACAACCCAUGGACAAAUUAAGCCUUUCAGCAAAACUUUCAUAUGUUACAAUAUCCAUCUUGCUUUAUUUUGUUUCAAAAAGAAACAUUGUUCCACAGACCUGCUACAGAUUUUGUCUCAUUUCCACAUUAACCCAUCUGGCCUCGAUACUUGUAGCUUCUGUGGUGAUGUAAACCCUGUGGAUAAUUCUUUACUGAUUCAAAUAAAACCAAGGAUUUGUGGUCAA